rnacentral:rRNA from 1 species
UACGUAGGGUGCAAGCGUUGUCCGGAAUUAUUGGGCGUAAAGGGCUCGUAGGCGGUCUGUCACGUCGGGAGUGAAAACUCGGGGCUUAACCCCGAGCCUGCUUCCGAUACGGGCAGACUAGAGGUAUGCAGGGGAGAAUGGAAUUCCUGGUGUAGCGGUGAAAUGCGCAGAUAUCAGGAGGAACACCAAUAGCGAAGGCAGCUCGCUGGGACGUUACUGACACUGAGGCGCGAAAGCGUGGGGAGCGAACAGG